UCUCACUGUUUUGUAGAAGUAUUCUCUCCACCAGUAAAAAGACAAGUACAUGAUGGUCCUAUCUACCUCAGCCCGUGCUGCAGAGAAGACUGUUGGGAAACCUGAUCUGAAAUGAAGAUUUCUGCCAUCAGCAAGGAUUUGCCUUAUGAAGAAUAAUGUGGUUGAGAGGCGAGGAAGUUAAAGGAAGGGGGCUGCUUUCUAGAUCUCCGGGUUGCUAUUCCCAUGAAAUGCAGAGUGUGUGGUACCCACAGACAUGCAACGUGGUGGAUUUGGAUGUCCUGGGGGACCUCAAAUGGAAUUGAAGAUUAACCUCUUCCAAACCUUCUCUUCAUCAUAAGUAGGAACCUUGGGAUCAAUAAAAUCAGUAUCAUCAUGACCUAAGAGGACUCAUUAUGUAUGGCACACGCUCUCGACCACAGGAGUACAUCAGUUUCUAAGGUGUGGUUUCUGCACCAUCAGCAUCACCCAGGAACCUGUCAGAGAUGCACAUUCUUGGACCCACCCUAGAUCUGUUGAAUAAAAACCUGCUAACCUGUUUGAAUGA